AAGUAAGCAAGGGCACCCGGGGGAUGCCUAGGCUCUCAGAGGCGAUGAAGGACGCGAUAAGCUGCGAAAAGCGGUGGGGAAGGGCACAUACCUGGUGAUCCACCGAUAUCCGAAUGGGGCAACCCCGCUGGUUGAAGACCAGUGACCUUUCUCUAUAGGAGAUAAGGGGCAAACGCAGGGAACUGAAACAUCUAAGUACCUGCAGGAACAGAAAAUAACAAUGAUUCCCCAAGUAGUGGCGAGCGAACGGGGACGAGCCCAAACCGGGUUGGUUACGGCCAGUCCGGGGUUGUAGGACCUCAAGAUCUGAUUGUGUGAUUUUAGCUGAAUGACGUGGGAAAGUCAACCAGAGACGGUGAGAGUCCGGUAAGCGAGCAGAUCAUGCACGGUAGAGGAUUCCUGAGUAAGGCGGGACCAGCGAAAUCCCGUCUGAAUCCGGCGGUACCAUCCGCCAAGGCUACAUACUCCUGAGAGACCGAUAGUGAACUAGUACCGUGAGGGAAAGGUGAAAAGCACCCCGACGAGGGGAGUGAAACAGUUCCUGAAACCGGAUGCUUACAAACAGUGGGAGCUCAAGGUUCGUCCUGGGUGACCGCGUACCUUUUGUAUAAUGGGUCAGCGACUUAAAGUUACGAGCAAGCUUAAGCCGGUAGGUGUAGGCGCAGCGAAAGCGAGUCUGAAUAGGGCGACCAUGAGUAUGAUGCAUUAGACCCGAACCCCGGCGAUCUAGGCAUGGCCAGGUUGAAGGUGCGGUAACACGCACUGGAGGACCGAACCGGUGAAUGUUGAAAAAUUCUCGGAUGAGCUGUGUUUAGGGGUGAAAGGCCAAUCAAGCCGGGAAAUAGCUGGUUCUCCGCGAAAACUAUUGAGGUAGUGCCUCGGAUGAAUACCGAUGGGGGUAGAGCACUGGAUGGGCUAGGG
rnacentral:rRNA from 1 species